AUAAGGCUUAGAUUUUAUGGAAAACGAAAUAAAACUUCUCCUCAAAUCUUCAUUUAGAAAGUACUUUUGGCGACGGAAAGAUAUACCAUAUUUUUAAAGCUUGAGAUCCUAAUUUUUUUUCACAACCACAAUGUUCAGAUCGAUGUAGAGCUUGUUUUGCAAUUUUUGAUGAGUUAUGAGACUGAGAGGACCCCCUCCUACGAUUACUUCUUACAGGAUAUUUUGAGCAAAAUUUCUCAUAUGGAACAGUGGAGAUUGGAUCGAGUACGAGUGUCGAGCUUAGACAUAAAAAAUGCAAAGAUUGCUGCUGCCCAAAGAUAUAUAUUCAUUCUUCAAAUUGGGGGAAUUCUUUGGCACUGAAAUUCAAUAAUGAGGGACUUUCAUGGGAAAAACUACAUCGAAAGAGCAAACAAGCAUCGAAAAGAAGUGAUAUUUUUGAACCCCAAAUGGUUAAAAUUAUGUGAAGAAAGCCUUCCCUUAAACCAUUUAAGUUGGAAGGGCCACUUGAAAUACACAUCCAUGGGAGUGGGGAGCCACAAGUGAUUCUUCCACUAAAUACUAUUAUAGCUCCAAAAUGAGUUCUUGUUGGUGAAGGAAUUACGAUAAAAGUAAAAGGUCCCCAACAAAUCACUCUGAUUCACCCUUCCAUUUCUGAUUCCUUCAUAAAUAGGACCUCAAUCAAUGUUUGCAAGGCUACUCCUUUGUCUGUUAUGUAUUAUUCAUGCAUGCCACGGCUCCUGGUGCGAAUCUCAGAGCUCAUUUCUUUAAUUGCAUAUGGGAUCCGCAAUGCCCAAGCACACAUGAAGAUGGCAUUUCCUUACAAAGAUACUCUCACAUUGAUGCUGGAAAACAAUAUACUUCAUUGGUCAAAGAGCACUACGCAACAACCAAUUGUCUCUCUUGAUCCAGGGUUCCUUCCUCCUAAUUCAAAGUUAGAUCAACUAAGGGAAUUGCUAAGAGAUUAUUGGGUGAAUAUAUUUACAAAAUGGGGACGCUAAGAAUAUCUAGAAUGAGAAUCAUUGCUUCUACAUUGAUGAAGUUUCAUCUGGAAUUGGAGAGGGAUAUGAGAGAAGAGCUUUCGGACGUGGAUGCUUCAUUGGCAUGGAGAACCAGGCCAACACUAGAGCGAGCUUGGUUUGAGAUAGUGGCAAGAGCGGAAGGUGGGGAGCAAUUGAAACCCUUGAUUUUGAAGAAGUUGAGGCCAUUUGUAAGAGCUGAUUCCUGCGUAUGGAGUAACCUCUGGGGAACACCUCCUUGGCAAGGUUCCCAUCCUGCCAUGUUCCUUCUGAGGCCCUGACAUUGGAUGUCGAGUGGUAGGAUGAUUUAUUUGUUUUAGAGGGGAAGGUGAUGAGGACUACAGCAAUCCAUUGGCAUCAUAAUUGUCUGAUGCAAACAUGGAUGGUGAUGCAUACAGUGCGACCCACUAUUUGGUUCUUGCAGGCCCCGCAUCUUGUCCACUACAAUUUCCAGUCUGUUGGACCAUACUUUCUCUUUUGUUAUUUGUCUAUUUAUCAUUGCACAAGAUGAAGGGUGUGUUGUAGCUGGAAAACCAGGAAUUCUGGAAUCUAGAAAUAUGUAUAAAAUAUUGUGAAGUAUUUCAGUUUUGAGUGCA